CAGCUCAAAUUUGAAAUCUGGCCCUCGGGCCCGAGUUGUAAUUUGGAGAGGAUGCUUCUGGCGCGGCGCCGUCCGAGUUCCUUGGAACAGGACGCCAUAGAGGGUGAGAGCCCCGUACGGGCGGCCGCCUAGCCUUUGCGAAGCUCCUUCGACGAGUCGAGUAGUUUGGGAAUGCUGCUCAAAAUGGGAGGUAAAUUUCUUCUAAAGCUAAAUACCGGCCAGAGACCGAUAGCGCACAAGUAGAGUGAUCGAAAGAUGAAAAGCACUUUGAAAAGAGGGUUAAAAAGUACGUGAAAUUGUUGAAAGGGAAGCGCCUGUGACCAGACUUGCGGCCCGCGGAUCAUCCGGUGUUCCUCACCGGUGCGCUCCGCGGGCCGCAGGCCAGCAUCGGCUCUCCUGGGGGGACAAAGGUCGCGGGAACGUGGCUCCUUAGGGAGUGUUAUAGCCCGCUUCGUCAUGCCUCCGGGGGGGCCGAGGACCGCGCUUCGGCAAGGAUGCUGGCGUAAUGGUCACCGGCGACCCGUCUUGAAACACGGACCAAGGAGUCAAGCAUUGGGGCGAGUGUCUGGGUGCCAAACCCGCACGCGAAAUGAAAGUAAACGCAGGUGAGAGCUUCGGCGCAUCACCGACCGAUCCUGAUGUCUUCGGAUGGAUUUGAGUAAGAGCCUUACCGCUUGGACCCGAAAGAUGGUGAACUAUGCCUGUAUAGGGUGAAGCCAGAGGAAACUCUGGUGGAGGCUCGCAGCGGUUCUGACGUGCAAAUCGAUCGUCAAAUAU
rnacentral:rRNA from 1 species